AAGAAUUCCAAUAUACUGUGAAUCCCAUUUCUAGAGAUGUUUCAGCCUUCAGUCUGAAGGUGGAGCUGGGUCAGGGGGUGGACAGUGACUGCCCCUGGAUUCGGUUCCUCCAGGCAAUGGCAAGAAUGCUCUGAAGUUAGAUUCCAGUAGUGAUCACACAAUUCUCAAGGAGUGAGAACUGUUUUAAUCAUAAAAAUUCCCUUCUGAAGUGGAGCAAGAAGUAUAAUCAAGGAAGAGAAUUCUCCAUCGGAGGCUGGGUGGGGAGAGGACGGGGAGGGUCUGAGUGGUAAAAAAAUGCAGGUGAUGGGCUUGGGUGUGGUCGUAUUCUCCAUUUUGAAAAUGCUUUCAGAAUUUCCCAUAAUAACAAGUUAAGUGGAUUUAAACAAAACAAAACAAAACAAGCAAACAAAACCAACCCUAAAACACACAUGAGAAAUGAAAGACAGGAAAUAGACAACAGCCAAAGCUGAAGCAAAUCCAGCCGUUCCUUCAGAGAGCUGCUUCAGGAACACACGCAGUGACGCAGCGACGGUCUGGUUUAGGGCGUUUAGAACCGACCAACAAUACAGAGGAAUCUAGAACAUCCACAGCUGAUUGGUUACAGCCUUAGUGAUACUUCGUUCUCCUAAGGUCAGGGAGAUGGCUUGGCAGGGAAAACUCAUGCUGUGCAAGCUUGAAGGCCUGAGCUCAGAUCCCCAGGACCUCUGGACUAAAAGCCAGAUGGGUGGCGAGCAUCUGUGGGAGGCUGGAUGGCAGAUACGAGAGGACUUCCCAGCUUUCAGGCCAGCUGUGCAGUGCCAAACAGCUAGAAAGCCCCUGGACACAUGAGGAUUUCUUCUGACCUCAACAUGGCGUGCAUACACACACACACACACACACACACACACACACCCCUAAUGCAUACACAUAAACAUGCUUGCACACCUCCCACCCAACCACACACACACACACACACACACACACACACACACACACCCCUAAUGCAUACACAUAAACAUGCUUGCACACCUUCCACCCAACCACACACACACACACACACACACACCCCUAAUGCAUACACAUAAACAUGCUUGCACACCUUCCACCCAACCACACACACACACACACACACCCCUAAUGUAUACACAUAAACAUGCUUGCACACCUUCCACCCAACCACACACACACACACACACACACACACACACACACACAAGAAAAGCAAAUCAAAGCACCACGAUGCCAUUUAUCAUCUACAAUAAGGAAGUAAAGCCCUUGACAAAUACUUCAGUUAGAACUCCGUGAGUCUCCAAGUCUUCUGGUACAAGUUGUAAAAGCAAGCGCUGCUGUUGGAGGGGCUCCAAGUUCAGUUCCCAGCACCCACCUCGGGUGGCUCACAACUGCCUGUACCUCCCGUUCCAGGGGAAGUCUGUUGUCUCUGGCAUCCUUUGGUUCCCUCCAUAAUUAAAAAAAUAAGUCUUUUUUUUUUUUUAAGUAAAAAGAGAACAGGAGUUGUAGCUCAGUGAUAGAACAUUUGCCCAGUGUGUGUGCAAAAUCCUAGCUUCAGUCCCUGUGCCUCAAAAUAAAUAAAUAAACGAGUAAAAGAAAAAGAAGGAAGGAACAAAGCCGGGUGCUCUCCAGGCCAAGAAUACCAGGACCAUGAGACUCGAGCUAAGGCUACAGAAACUCUCCCUCAUAGAGCCCGGGAUCCCAAGGAACACUAGCUGAGCUCCAUCAUCUGGACUCGAUCGCUUAUCCUAAGCCUGGGAGGUAUCCGCAUAUUCUCUCCGUCCAGGGUCUCAGGAUGUGCUGGCUUAAGGUCAAGACUCAAACCAAAAUCUGCAGCUCCUCAUUCAGUUCUGGCUCUGGCUUAGGCUCACAACAGUACCGGGCUCACACGAAGACCCCAAAUGUUCUUCUUCCUCCUCUCCUUUGCUUUCCCCUUCCCUCCCCAUCUCCCCCUUCCACCCCAAGACUUUCUCUACCUGAAUGUUUGUGUUGAAAUAAUUCCGAAACAACUGUUUGGAUUAGGAAAACUAAGAAAUCGACUCCUGGACUGCAGUUUCUGCUCAAGGGGUGGACUGCCUUCCCCUCCACGCCCGUUCCUGUGAUGGCAAGUGUCACCUGCCGGGCCCACCUGCCUGGGCUCAUCUCACAGGCCUUCGCAGUAAGGACAGAUAAGAUGGGGAAGGAUAGAGCCCAGGCGCAUACCUAGAAGCGUGGAGGUCGAGAAGGUCACCGUACAGCACAGUGAGGCUGUGCCUGGGCCUAGGGAAGGUUUAUUUAAUAAUUAAGAAUUCAUGGACAUACAUGUACCUGAUAAACACAUGGAGAAGUGCUCUCCCUGACAUGUGACCGAAGGAAGGCAAUUCAGGGCCACCAAGAAGCAGCAAAGGCACCCAGAACCUGAGUUCUAGCUCCAGGACCCACGUGGUGGAGAAAGCAAAUGAACUUUUGCAAGUUGUCCUCUGGCCUCUACAUGUGUACUGUAGACACACACACACACACACACACACACACACACACUUAAAAAAGAAACCAAAACACGAAAAGUAUUUGAUUUGACAAAUAUUUUAGUUGGCUCAGUGACUCUCAAUUCUGCUGAUCCAUGUGGUGGACGACAGACGGCUAAGCUACAGGAAGAGGAAGCGAGGCACCGACAGAGCCCUGUUACAAAGCUGUUCCGAUACUGGAUGUUUUCUUCCUUGGGAGCUCAGUUUCUCUGCAAGAACAGCCAGUGCUGAUCAGGAUGUGAGCUCCGUGACUCAUGUUCUCGCUCCUGUGCCUUUGCUCCUCCGUCAGGUAGUCCAACCCUCUGGGACCACAAGCCAAAAAAACUCUUCUUUUUAUAAGGUCCUUUGGUCGUGGUGUUUUGUUACAGCAAGUAGUUAAUGCAAUGCUGUUCUAGUUUUUAGGGGCAGAGUGGUAGAAAAACCUAGACAACAGUUGAUCAGGAAGUGCAUGGCUAUGCCAGACAAGAAGCCAAAGGGUUGUGUCCUGCUAGGUUUCACCUUGGCUUGACCAUAACUUCCUCUGUCAUGCCUGCGUUCUUCCCUUUGGGAUGGCUAUGCCAUUGUGCGUUGGAAAUGUGAGCCAAUGGGUUCAUGGGUCCGACCACCAUCGCUGAGGGCCACUAAUGCUGUUAUGUCGUCCCAUCCAUGGUAGAGUACCUCAAAACGUGAAUCAAAAUACCCUUUCUUCUCUCAAAAGAAGAAGAAGAAGAGGAGGAGGAGGAGAAAGAAGAAGAAAAGAAAGAAAGAAAGAAAGAAAGGAAAAGAAAAGAAAGAAACGAAAAUUUA